UAUAUAUAGUAGUGAACUGAACUCUUAAAAUACACAAAAAGGGGGCCUGGAAUGUAGCAUGCUCCCUUAGCAAUUCCAAAGCCCUGAGUUUGACCCCCAGCACAAUGAAAAAAAUGGGAUGAGGUUACAGACCUGUGAUCUCAGUACUGAGAAGGUGGAAGCAGGAAGAUCAGAUGUUCAAGUUCACCCUUGACCACAUAGCGAUUCGAGCCAGUUGAGGUGCCUGAAACCCUUCUGUCCCCAAAAGGUGUUUUAAUCAUAACCACUGAGAUAGGAUUUAAUAUCUUUGGUAAGAAUCAUCAGCCACUUGGGCCAUCCACUGCCUCAUUUUGCUUCUUCCCUGCUGUGUGGCCACUUGCCAGUCACUUAACCUCUCUGGGGCUCAGUUUGCCAAUGAAUAAAUUAGGACUUCUGGUAUCUUUGUGCCAGUAUGACCAUCUCAGUGGUGCUUUCUCCCCUGAGAGUUGCUUUCUUUGCCCCCACGGUUCGAGUUACUCUGUCAGCCCCGCACUUUGUGCUUAUUAAGUCUGAGUGUUCUCCUUUUCUGCCUUUCCCCACAGGGCUGAUCAUUCUCAGCAUCUAGACCUGGAACAGAACGGGAGCGAGGAUGUCUGGUGCCUAGUCAGAUCCACACCCGAGGAGUGUCCGCGUGUGCACAGCUGGCUGCUCGGGGCUCGAGUGGAGGCCCUAAUAUGAAUGGAGACCUAGUCUGCUGGUUGAGACCUUGGCAGUGACCACUGUGGGCAAUGAGCCAUCGACCAACAAUUCCCUUAGGAAAAGACCCAGGCUGUUUUAGGAUAAACAGCAGGCCCCAGCCCUGCCCCAUGGAUCUCUGUGCAGAGAGGAGAAGGUCUGGUGAUUGCUUCCAAGACGAGCGGUGGUCUUCAGCCUUGCAGGAAUGUUGUACACUUGAGAUGUGGGUAUGAAGAAUCUCUCAGGAAGGUAACGGCCCCUGGUGGAAUCAUAUGUGGACACUGCCCCUUUCAGGACUUAUUUUGAAUUGAACCUGUCUUAGCUGUUGAGAAAGGAGUUAAAGGACUUGCAGGAACUCUUCAGUUCAAUGAUGCGCUCCUCUUGGUACCUGAAUGAUUCUAAGCCUCUGUGGGGCAGGAAGAAAGGGACUCAG